CGCGCUGGGCAGUGGCCGCCUCCCCGUCCCUCUCAGAGCCAAGCUGCUUUCCACACCUGCUGCCACCGUCGGGGCUGGGGUCCGCCGCCCUGCCAGUCCCCGCCGGCUCGGCCACCGCCCAGGGUUUACCGCUGGCGCUGCGGGGGCGCUCACGGCGGGGCCUCUGCAUUCCUUGCUGACGACGAAGUUCGACAUUUUCCUGUGUCUCCGGGCCCCUCGGGUUUUCUCUGGGGUUACCACCAGAUUCCACGGGGCUCCUGGGGGCGCACGUAGGGCCCCAUGUCUGGGCCUUGCUAACAGUCUGCUCCAAUCAGCUGCAAACCGGGUGACUCCCCAGGUGCACGUCCCUCUGUGGGAGCUGCCCGGAGCUUCUCCCCGGGGUCGCAUCAGCACGGCCUGGCCUGGGGACGAUGCAGUGGCCCCCCCUCGUCCUACAUGGGAGGGGGAAGUCGCCACCUGACUGUGACGCCGUAGUAGGAGUCAGGUGUCUCUGAUGGGGCCGUAAGACCUUCAACAGCAACGGAGCUGAGCGUGUGCGGGAAGCAUGAGGCGGGACCAGGGGUGUUUGCGGCUCCAGGACAUCGGUCUGGCUCCAUGGCUGCGGCCUGGGCAGGCUUCCUGUUUUGUGGGCGCGGGCCCCAGACAGUGCCUCUGCGUCCCGGAGAAGGUGCGGAAAGGCGGGAGGGCCCACGAGCCUCCCCAGUGGAAGCCAGCAAGGUGGUGGCGAUCCCACCUCCUCGAGGCCCCGGGCUUAGGCGGGAGGUCGGAGCCCUGUGCACUGGGCACAGCUGGGGGUGCUCCGACCCGGAGACGGACCAGGGCACCCAGCGCCCAGGCCGUGGGCUGAAUCUGGGCCCUGCUGUUCUGUUUCCCGGGCACCAGCCGCUGGCUCCGUGGGGCACGAACAGGCCCCCAGGGCGGAGGCCGCGGCAGUGCAGGCUCCUCCGUGUCAGGCGGCUGUGGGGCAGGUGUGGGCCCCGCGCUGAGCGCAGCGUGGACGUGGGCGCGGCCCUCGGGGAGGACCUUUCUCCAGCAGUGAGACCCGAGCCAGCCCCUGACUGAACACAGGAGGGAGCCGGGAAGAUGGUGGCAGCGCACCCAGCGCAGGACCUCGCCCAAGACAGGCCCGACCCCUGCAACGAGACCCAGGCCCCAGCAGGGGAGACCCCGGCCGCUGCAGUGGAGACCCCGGCCCCUGGGGAGACCCAGCACAUUUGAGGCCCAGGAGACAGACGGUCUCACGCUUGUCCUGGUUCGCCUCCCACUGGGGACCAUUUUGCCCUCGGCCAGCACAUGUGCUCAGGGUGGCCCUGGGCACCUCCCGCUUCCGGCCCACCAUGAGCCUCACCUCGUCCGUCCUUGGUCCCUGGUGCCGAGGAGCAAGGGCAGCCGAGCAGCAGCCGAGCAGGGCCUGGGUGUGCCCCCCCCCCCCGUCUUUCCCUUGUUUCUUGCCCACGGCCUACGGAUGAGUUUCUAGGGUUUACGGAGGGAUGAGGACACACCCUGAGCUGUACUCGCUGGAACCGCGGGGAUCCGCGGGGGGAGCAGCAGGGCAGUGGGCAGGGCCACCCCGUGUGCCCGCGCGGGGGCAGUGAGGACACACCUCAGGGCCCAGCCCUCAGAUGAGGGCUCCCUGGGAAGGAAGGCAGUAAAGGCCGGAGAAGUUGUACUUUGCUGUUUCACGUUGAUCGCGGGCACAGGUUGCAGAAGUGGAGACGUUAACCUGGAUGAAACAGAAACCCUUGCAGGUGAAUUUCCGAGCCAGCCCUGCAGCGGGGGUGACCCUCGGCUGCCGUGAUGUCCCCGAGUGGCCCCGUAGCAGAGCCUGUGUCACGGGUGACCCCGGGCCAGCUGCAGGGGGGGGGUCAGGCCCCCAGUAGCCCCGGGCCAGGCUGCGGCCCCGCCCAUGAGGGGGGCUGCGGGGCUGAGGCAUCCUCCUGGUGGGGUGCCGUCCGGCUGGCUUCUGAACCGGCUGUCGGUGGUGGGUCCCGUGUUCGCGAGCUCCUCACCACGUUCCCCCAAAACCAGCGUCCCUGCGUGCGGUGUGGCCCAGCGACACGUG
rnacentral:lncRNA from 12 species